rnacentral:rRNA from 1 species
UCGAACGCAGUAGCAAUACUGAGUGGCAAACGGGUGAGUAUAAUGUGGGAAUCUGCCUUUUGGUUUGGAAUAACACGGGGAAACUUGUGCUAAUACCGAAUAAGCCUUUACGGGGAAAGUUUUAACGCCGAAAGAUGAGCCUGCACUUGAUUAGCUAGUUGGUAAGGUAAAGGCUUACCAAGGCAAUGAUCAAUAGCUGUUCUUAGAGGAAGACCAGCCACAUUGGGACUGAGACACGGCCCAGACUCCUACGGGAGGCAGCAGUGGGGAAUCUUGCACAAUGGGGGAAACCCUGAUGCAGCGAUGCCGCGUGAGUGAAGAAGGCCCUUGGGUUGUAAAACUCUUUCGUCGGGGAAGAAAAUGACUGUACCCGAAUAAGAAGGUCCGGCUAACUUCGUGCCAGCAGCCGCGGUAAUACGAAGGGACCUAGCGUAGUUCGGAAUUACUGGGCUUAAAGAGCUCGUAGGUGGUUAAAAAAGUUGAUGGUGAAAUCCCAAGGCUCAACCUUGGAACUGCCAUCAAAACUUUUUAGCUAGGGUGUGAUAGAGGUAAGUGGAAUUUCUAGUGUAGAGGUGAAAUUCGUAGAUAUUAGAAAGAACACCAAAUGCGAAGGCAACUUACUGGGUCACUACUGACACUGAGGAGCGAAAGCAUGGGUAGCGAAGAGGACUAGAUACCCUCGUAGUCCAUGCCGUAAACGAUGUGUGCUAGACGUUGGAAAUAUAUUUUUCAGUGUCGCAGCGAAAGCAUUAAGCACACCGCC